rnacentral:rRNA from 1 species
CGGCACGCCUAACACAUGCAAGUCGAACGCAGUAGCAAUACUGAGUGGCAAACGGGUGAGUAUAAUGUGGGAAUCUGCCUUUUGGUUUGGAAUAACACGGGGAAACUUGUGCUAAUACCGAAUAAGCCCUUACGGGGAAAGUUUUAACGCCGAAAGAUGAGCCCGCACUUGAUUAGCUAGUUGGUAAGGUAAAAGCUUACCAAGGCAACGAUCAAUAGCUGUUCUUAGAGGAAGACCAGCCACAUUGGGACUGAGACACGGCCCAGACUCCUACGGGAGGCAGCAGUGGGGAAUCUUGCACAAUGGGGGAAACCCUGAUGCAGCGAUGCCGCGUGAGUGAAGAAGGCCCUUGGGUUGUAAAACUCUUUCGUCGGGGAAGAAAAUGACUGUACCCGAAUAAGAAGGUCCG